GACGAACGCUGGCGGCGUGCCUAAUACAUGCAAGUAGAACGCACAGUUUAUACCGUAGCUUGCUACACCAUAGACUGUGAGUUGCGAACGGGUGAGUAACGCGUAGGUAGCCUGCCUGGUAGCGGGGGAUAACUAUUGGAAACGAUAGCUAAUACCGCAUAAUAUUAAUUAUUGCAUGAUAAUUAAUUGAAAGGUGCAAUUGCACCACUACCAGAUGGACCUGCGUUGUAUUAGCUAGUAGGUGAGGUAACGGCUCACCUAGGCGACGAUACAUAGCCGACCUGAGAGGGUGAUCGGCCACACUGGGACUGAGACACGGCCCAGACUCCUACGGGAGGCAGCAGUAGGGAAUCUUCGGCAAUGGACGAAAGUCUGACCGAGCAACGCCGCGUGAGUGAAGAAGGUUUUCGGAUCGUAAAGAUCUGUUGUAAGAGAAGAACGGGUGUGAGAGUGGAAAGUUCACACUGUGACGGUAUCUUACCAGAAAGGGACGGCUAACUACGUG
rnacentral:rRNA from 1 species